rfam:Schistosoma margrebowiei strain Zambia genome assembly, scaffold: SMRZ_contig0000148
AUCCAGCUGAUGAGUCCCAAAUAGGAUGAAACACGCGUCCUCGAU